UGCUUCUGGAGAGACCUGAGUGCUGUUCCCACCAGGAGCUGGUGGUCCCUGUGUUGGUGGGAGACUGUCCCACCUUUAUCCAGAACAGGUGGAGGUGGGGCGGGAAGUGUGGGAAUCUGAAAAGGAGGCUUCCCUGUGGACUGUCUGGGGACCCCAGGCUGGCUCGAAGAGAGGACCUGCUUGGCGGGUUGGUGCUGCCCUCUGGAGGUCCCUCCAGCUCGGUUCCCCCGGCCCCUGGCCGAGUGGGCUCUUCCGCCGCCGUCUUUCUCCCCCUCCCGGCUUCUGUGCUGGGCGCUGCGCCAGGCUGGGGGAGCCUUAGACGCAGUGAGCGCGAACUGAGCAGGCGCCGCAUCCUGGGCUACCCCUGCAGUCCCUGGGGAGCCGCCACAGCCGAGGCGCCCAAAUCCCGGGGGGGAUAACACUCCCCUCCUCGAGCCAGGCCAAGGGCGAGGGUGGGAGGAGAGGGGAGUAGACUGGAAUGGUUCCCGCAGGUCUCCCAGGAGCGGGACGCAAACGAGGAAGCCCUCCCUGUCUCGUCCCCGCCCUCCUCCCCACAAUCAAGUGCGCAACCAAAAGAGAACUGGGAUUCCGUGGUCGGGAGUCCGCCUGCCGAUGCAGGGGACGCAGGUUCGUGCCCCGGUCCGCGAAGAUCCCACAUGCCGCGGAGCGGAGCCAUGGCUGCUGAGCCUGCGCAUCCGGAGCCUGUGCUCCGCAACGGGAGAGGCCACAAAAGUGAGAGGCCCGCGUACCGCAAAAAAAAAAAAAAAAAAAAAAAGCUAAUGUUAAU